AGACGUGGCUCCACAUAAAUUUUUCCUUGGGCUGGUUUCCUGCAUGUCUUUUAAGUAUUUGCUUUUAGUUUCCGUGUUUUGGUGUUUUGUUUGUUCGUUUUUUUUUUUUUUUUGUUUUUACGACAAUGCCUUCUAGGGGAACAGUGUCGCUGGGCUGGGCGGUGGAGAGACACCUUUGGCACCAUCGUGCGAUCUCAUGCACCCUACCAGUGAUCAACCCUUUGAGUCUGGCUUAGCUCAGGCAGAAAUUGUAGUCUGCAAAAGAAACUGAGAAGAAGAGGGCAAGGAGAGUGUGGCAUCCCAAGACAUAAAGACUCAAAUCAAUGAGAGCAAGCAACUCUGUCAAAUUUCACCAGAAGUGAGGACUAAAUAUUGACUACCGAAUUUUGCAAGGUAGGAAUCACUGGUAAAC
rnacentral:lncRNA from 1 species